CUCCUCAGUAUUCAAUAGGAGCCGUGGACAUUGCUUAGAAAGACAAAACUUCAUUGAAGACCUUCAGAAUGGUCCCAUCAGAAAGAAUCGGGAUUCCAGUGUAUCCAGAACAAGUGGCUUUGAAGACUCAGAGCAUAUGAUGGAACCAGUUCACACAGCUAAUAAGUCUGUUAACCAAGGACCGAAGUAUAACCUACAUCAGACCCCAGGUUACCCAACAUCUCGGCAUUUCCAUACCCAGACCCAAGAUUUGCAGCAAUCAGAAAGAAAAUUUUCACAGAAUCAGAACAUUUACCAGAGAGGCCAUUUUCCUCCUCCUGGUCCCCACGGA